AUGGACCCUUCCAUCCCUUUUUCCCGUGCAUAUGCAUCGGACUCGGAUGACGAUGGUCCCGAUGAACAAGUUGAUGCGGAGGGGUUCACGGUGAAGGAGGCCGAAGCUUUCGAGAAGGUAUUUGGUCGGGAUCAUCGAACUACAUUGUUCAAGGAUGUUAGUCUCGCGGAUGAAGCCGUGGUAGAUGGUGGCCAAUGUGUACAUCUUGGUGUUAGGUCAAGCUCUUAU
rnacentral:rRNA from 1 species